AUUCUUACCUGGCAGGGGAUAUACCAUGAACACAAAAGUGGUUUUCCCAGGGCAAAACUUAUCCAUUGCUCUCUGGAUGUGCUGACCCCUGUGACUUACCCAAAUGUCAAAAGCUCAACUGCAUAAUUUGUGGUAGUGGGGAAACACAUUCACACUUUCCCCU